rnacentral:misc_RNA from 1 species
AAGAAGAAGAAGAAAAGAAGGGAGAGAUUAAUAAGAAAAUAUCCACCUGAUAUAUUUUUACAAAAAUGACUGGAAAAUGAAGUUCAGUUGUAGAGACAUAUGGUUUACUAAAAGAACACAAAAAAGUGGAAAGGACGUGAGGAAUAUUAAAGUUCAGUUAAUUACAUUGUAGCACUUCUUAUUGCAAACUAUAAAUUAACUGAAACCUUCCUUCUGAUAGUCCAUCCAGAAAGAAAGAAG